CUGGUUGAUCCUGCCAGAGGUCACUGCUAUCGGGGUUCGAUUAAGCCAUGCGAGUUGAGAGGGUUCAGACCCUCGGCGGACUGCUCAGUAACACGUGGAUAACCUGCCCUAAGGUGGAGCAUAACCCCGGGAAACUGGGGAUAAUACUCCAUAGGUUAGAGGUACUGGAAUGUUCUUUAACCGAAAGUUCCGGCGCCUUAGGAUGGAUCUGCGGCCGAUUAGGUAGUUGUUGGGGUAACGGCCCAACAAGCCUGUAAUCGGUACGGGUUGUGGGAGCAAGAGCCCGGAGAUGGAAUCUGAGACACGAUUCCAGGCCCUACGGGGCGCAGCAGGCGCGAAAACUUUACAAUGCAGGAAACUGUGAUAAGGGAACCCCGAGUGCCCGUAUACGCGGGCUGUCCGGGUGUAUAAAAAGCAUCUGAAGAAAGGGCCGGGCAAGACCGGUGCCAGCCGCCGCGGUAAUACCGGCGGCUCGAGUGGUGACCACUUUUAUUGGGCUUAAAGCGUUCGUAGCUGGACUCUUAAGUCUCUUGGGAAAUCCCGCGGCUCAACCGUGGGGCGUUUAAGAGAUACUGGGAGUCUAGGAACCGGGAGAGGUAAGAGGUACUUCGGGGGUAGAAGUGAAAUUCUGUAAUCCUCGAGGGACCACCGAUGGCGAAGGCAUCUUACCAGAACGGCUUCGACAGUGAGGAACGAAAGCUGGGGGAGCGAACGGGAUUAGAUACCCCGGUAGUCCCAGCCGUAAACGAUGCGCGUUAGGUGUACUGGUGACCACGAGUCACUGGGGUGCCGAAGGGAAACCGUGAAACGUGCCGCCUGGGAAGUACGGUCGCAAGGCUGAAACUUAAAGGAAUUGGCGGGGGAGCACCAC
rnacentral:rRNA from 1 species